rnacentral:rRNA from 1 species
GAUGAACGCUAGCUACAGGCUUAACACAUGCAAGUCGAGGGGAAACGACAUCGAAAGCUUGCUUUUGAUGGGCGUCGACCGGCGCACGGGUGAGUAACGCGUAUCCAACCUGCCCAUCACUUGGGAAUAACCUUGCGAAAGUAAGACCAAUACCCAAUGACAUCCCACGAAGACAUCUGAAUGGGAUUAAAGAUUUAUCGGUGAUGGAUGGGGAUGCGUCUGAUUAGCUUGUUGGCGGGGUAACGGCCAACCAAGGCAACGAUCAGUAGGGGUUCUGAGAGGGAGGUCCCGCACAUUGGAACGGAGACACUGUCCAAACGCCUACGGGAGGCAGCAGUGGGGAAGAUUGGGCAAUGGACGUGAGCCUGAACCAGCCAAGUAGCGUGCAGGAGGCCGGCCCUAGGGGGUGUAAACUGCUUUUAUAAGGCAAUAAAGUGGGUCUCGUGAGACUUGUUGCAUGUACCUGAUGAAUAAGGACCGGCUAAUUCCGUG